rnacentral:lncRNA from 1 species
CUGAAGAAAUUGACAGGGCCUCUUGGAGGUGGCACAUUUCUUCAUGACUUCGCCUCACCUGAAUGUUCUUCUCCCCAGUCACACCUUGGUCUGUCUGCCUGCUGUGGGGGUCACACUGUGGCCACAUCCUGCCGGCUCCUGCCUCUCAAGAGCCAACUGAGGUGCUGUCUCGUCUCCAAUCCCUUUCCCUUCUGUCUUUGCCACACGAUCCUCUGACUCUCUUUUAAACACUCCUUAACAUUUAUCUACUCCCGGAAGCAUGCCUGUCACCAACUAGAGCCUAGCAGUAGCCACUUGACAAACCCAUAGCGACCGCAAGGCUUUGUGAUACUCUGCAGUCAUGACUAGAUGAUGUCUUUGUCUCAUUCACAAAGUGUUUCGCUGCUUUCUUUGGGUAUAAGAAAGUUGUGGAGUAUGCGUGUCCUGUUACCUUCCUUACUGCGAUGAUGAUGAUCAUGACGAUGAUGACGGUGAGGACGACGAUGAAGUGCCAGCCAUGAUUUUGGUGACGAUACGAUUGUGCACGAAGAGGGGAAGGAGUAAGAGUUGGCAUUCUGGACUCCGUCACUUCACUGUUAUUGGCUCUGGUCCACUUGACCUCCCUGAGCUACUUAUUCA